rnacentral:rRNA from 1 species
GAUGAACGCUGGCGGCGUGCCUAAUACAUGCAAGUCGAGCGAACAGACGAGGAGCUUGCUCCUCUGACGUUAGCGGCGGACGGGUGAGUAACACGUGGAUAACCUACCUAUAAGACUGGGAUAACUUCGGGAAACCGGAGCUAAUACCGGAUAAUAUAUUGAACCGCAUGGUUCCAUAGUGAAAGACGGUUUUGCUGUCACUUAUAGAUGGAUCCGCGCCGCAUUAGCUAGUUGGUAAGGUAACGGCUUACCAAGGCGACGAUGCGUAGCCGACCUGAGAGGGUGAUCAGCCACACUGGAACUGAGACACGGUCCAGACUCCUACGGGAGGCAGCAGUAGGGAAUCUUCCGCAAUGGGCGAAAGCCUGACGGGGCAACGCCGCGUGAGUGAUGAAGGUCUUCGGAUCGUAAAACUCUGUUAUUAGGGAAGAACAAAUGUGUAAGUAACUAUGCACGUCUUGACGGUACCUAAUCAGAAAGCCACGGCUAACUACGUG